rnacentral:rRNA from 1 species
UGGGGAAUAUUGCACAAUGGACGGAAGUCUGAUGCAGCAACGCCGCGUGCGGGAUGACGGCCUUCGGGUUGUAAACCGCUUUUUCUCAUGACGAAGUUUUUUGACGGUAGUGGGGGAAGAAGCACCGGCUAACUACGUGCCAGCAGCCGCGGUGAUACGUAGGGUGCGAGUGUUGUCCGGAAUUAUUGGGCGUAAAGAGCUUGUAGGCGGUUUGUCGCGUCGAUAGUGCAAACUCAGUGCUUAACGCUGAGCCUGCUGUUGAUACGGGCAGACUAGAGGAAGGUAGGGGAGAAUGGAAUUCCCGGUGGAGCGGUGGAAUGCGCAGAUAUCGGGAGGAAAACCGGUGGCGAAGGCGGUUCUCUGGGCCUUUCCUGACGCUGAGAAGCGAAAGCGUGGGGAGCGAACAGG